rnacentral:rRNA from 1 species
GGGUUGUGAGGUUAAGCGACUAAGCGUACACGGUGGAUGCCCUGGCAGUCAGAGGCGAUGAAGGACGUGCUAAUCUGCGAUAAGCGUCGGUAAGGUGAUAUGAACCGUUAUAACCGGCGAUUUCCGAAUGGGGAAACCCAGUGUGUUUCGACACACUAUCAUUAACUGAAUCCAUAGGUUAAUGAGGCGAACCGGGGGAACUGAAACAUCUAAGUACCCCGAGGAAAAGAAAUCAACCGAGAUUCCCCCAGUAGCGGCGAGCGAACGGGGAGCAGCCCAGAGCCUGAAUCAGUGUGUGUGUUAGUGGAAGCGUCUGGAAAGGCGCGCGAUACAGGGUGACAGCCCCGUACACAAAAAUGCACAUGCUGUGAGCUCGAUGAGUAGGGCGGGACACGUGGUAUCCUGUCUGAAUAUGGGGGGACCAUCCUCCAAGGCUAAAUACUCCUGACUGACCGAUAGUGAACCAGUACCGUGAGGGAAAGGCGAAAAGAACCCCGGCGAGGGGAGUGAAAAAGAACCUGAAACCGUGUACGUACAAGCAGUGGGAGCACGCUUAGGCGUGUGACUGCGUACCUUUUGUAUAAUGGGUCAGCGACUUAUAUUCUGUAGCAAGGUUAACCGAAUAGGGGAGCCGAAGGGAAACCGAGUCUUAACUGGGCGUUAAGUUGCAGGGUAUAGACCCGAAACCCGGUGAUCUAGCCAUGGGCAGGUUGAAGGUUGGGUAACACUAACUGGAGGACCGAACCGACUAAUGUUGAAAAAUUAGCGGAUGACUUGUGGCUGGGGGUGAAAGGCCAAUCAAACCGGGAGAUAGCUGGUUCUCCCCGAAAGCUAUUUAGGUAGCGCCUCGUGAAUUCAUCUCCGGGGGUAGAGCACUGUUUCGGCAAGGGGGUCAUCCCGACUUACCAACCCGAUGCAAACUGCGAAUACCGGAGAAUGUUAUCACGGGAGACACACGGCGGGUGCUAACGUCCGUCGUGAAGAGGGAAACAACCCAGACCGCCAGCUAAGGUCCCAAAGUCAUGGUUAAGUGGGAAACGAUGUGGGAAGGCCCAGACAGCCAGGAUGUUGGCUUAGAAGCAGCCAUCAUUUAAAGAAAGCGUAAUAGCUCACUGGUCGAGUCGGCCUGCGCGGAAGAUGUAACGGGGCUAAACCAUGCAC